rnacentral:misc_RNA from 1 species
AACGCACCUUGCGCCUCUUGGUAUUCCGAGGGGCAUGCCUGUUUGAGUGUCAUGAAACCAUCAAUGGGGGGACCUCUCUUUUUAGAGAGAGGCCUCCUCCUUUGAAUGUGGAGUGUGCUGGCUUGUUCAGCUCCUCUGAAAUGCAUUAGCGAUGUGGUGUUCCACCUGCUUGAGCUUCGUUGGCAUUGAUAGUCAUUCAUGUCAGAGUUGUUCAGCUGUGGCAAGGUUCACUUGCUCCUAAUUGUUGAUGGACUCCUCCAUCCUUUGACUCCUUAUAACCUCAAAUCAGGCAGGACUACCCGCUGAACUUAA